rnacentral:rRNA from 1 species
UCAGCAAGCCCCGGUAAUACAGAGACSKCAAGCGUUAUUCGGAUUUACUGGGCGUAAAGGGUGCGCAGGCGGCCAAGURUGUCKGAGGUGAAAUCUUGCRGCUUAACNGUAAAAUUGCAUACGAAACUACUWGGCUAGAGUAUCGGAGAGGAUARCGGAAUUCCMGGUGUAGCAGUGAAAUGCGUAGAUAUCUGGAGGAACACCAAYGGCGAAGGCAGCUAUCUGGACSAUWACUGACGCUCAGGCACGAAAGCAUGGGGAGCGAAAGGGAUUAGAUACCCCUGUAGUCCUWGCCGUAAACGUUGUACACUAGAUGUU